UUUACAGCGAAUUUCUAACAGUAUUGUACUGUAUUUUCAAAAAACAGUGUUAGACUGUAUAUUUACAAAAUAUUUACAGAAUGUCUGUAAAUGUACAGAAUUGUCCUGUUUUCAGCAUGCAAAAUUCGUAAUACAGAAUAAUACUGUAAAAGCAUUGCAUUGUGGGAUUGAUUUCCUUCGCGCUCAAUAUUUGAAUGUAAGCAGAGCUAUUGCUUCGGAAGUUCGGACGCCCUUUAUUUGUUAGGAUUGGUUAUUCAUAUAAACAACGACGAUAUGAAGACAACGCGUUCAACUUUUAAUCUAUAGCUGCCUGUGAUGUGAAAACGUACACGGAACAUUUAAAAGUUACUCGACGAAGCGGCAGACAUGAGAGGAUUGUGCAUGCAACAAGAAGACGGAGAGAAUACAAUGUGUCUGUGAUGAAGAUAAACGAAGAUUGACUGAAUGUGCAUCAUUGACACGGUCCAUCUCUAAGCAACCAGCGCUGGAUGUUGAGCAUGGACGGUCAGGUUGUGUGUGAAGGAGAGCAGCGCAACUUUGUCUCUGGUCUUGCAACGCUGAUUGCCUCAUUCUACAAUUUUAACCUCCCGGAUCUGGAAGCGGUGGCAUGCACCCUUGGGUUUGUUCAGAGAUGAUUUCUCUACAUCAACCUGGAACAUGGAUCAAAGAUGAAGAAAGGGAAAAAGAACACUACAGUGAAUCCACAGGUUUCCACUCUUCUUAGAAAACUUACGGACUUUAAAUGGAAUUUUGUUUAGACACUUCCACUAUCCAGUGUAGUUGAAUUAAAAGGAAUUAAAGUUUCCUACAUUGUUAAUGAUGUGCUGUUAAUUGAAAUACAAACGUACAGCUGGCAUUUCAUCCAAUAUGCUUAUGUUAAAGAAUUAAUCCACUUUUAAAAUGAUGCAAAAAAAGAAAGUCAGGAGGGAAAAUACAGUAAAGGAUUAGUCCACUUUCUUAAAGGAGUAGUCCACUUUAAA